UGAAUGAGAGUGUGUGUAUAUGUGUACAAACACCUGCACGGCCUCAGCCUCAGGAAAACUCUGCCACUUAGUGUCAUUCAAAUGUACUUUUUAUUAUGAUUUAUUUUUUAAACUUUAAAAAAAAAGUAUUUUUGACCAUGAUUCUCUCUGUCACUCAGCAACUCCACUCCCACUUGUCUCCAAUUCCACAUACCUUCCCUCAGCCCAUCCCAACUAUCUCUGCUAUGAAACUUUGUCAAUGAUGACACAAUCUUUCAAAGUGUGUGAUUGUACACGUAUUUUUAAAACGUUCACUCACUGCCUAUAGACCGUUACCAUAUGGUGUUCAAAUGUAUUAUGAACGUUUCACUGACCUGCAUUUCAGGUUUGUUCUUUGUGUGCAUGUAUGGAUAACAUUAUGGUGACAUAUAACGACCUUCUGCUGUUAUAGGUGACAAUUGAACUCCACAAGUGCUACUCUAGGAUCAUGUUCUCCCUGUCUAGUGAAAUGCUCUGUUCGGGAUGGGCAACCCCUUGCUCGACAUCUCAGCUGGACAACGACUUCCUCCACAAGUAUGGACUGAAGCCCAGCACCCAGAUACUGACCGAGGACAAGCACAAAGCCAUGAAAAAGUGUUUCCCCCAUAGUGAACAGAGGGGUGGCACUUUCCAGCACCUCUCCGGAACCAUACUUUAACAACUGAAUUCCGGUCGGACCUCCUUUACCAGAACACAGCUGGCUUUCAUGCUGCAGGCAUGGGGGCUGGUAAUUGCAGACACACAGAGGACCUGAGCCCUAGGACCAUGCCUCACGACUACCUGGCAUGAUGACUCCUUGCUGUCCCCAGUCCACCUGGCCGUGCUGCUGCUCCAGUUUCAACUGUUCUGCCUGCAGCUAUGGAACCCUGACCUGUUCACUGGAUGUGCUACCUGUCCCAGACCUGCUGUUUUCAACUCUCUAGAGACAGCAGGAGCGGUAGAGAUACUCGCAAUGAUCGGCUAUGAAAAGCCAACUGACAUUUACUCUUGGGGUGCUGACUUGUUGCACCCUCGACAACUACUGUGAUUACUAUUAUUUGACCCUGGUGGUCAUUUAUGAACAUUUGAACAUCUUGGCCAUGUUCUGUUAUAAUCUCCACCCGGCACAGCCAGAAGAGGAUUGGCCACCCCUCAUAGCCUGGUUCCUCUCUAGGUUUCUUCCUAGGUUUUGGUUUUGGCCUUUCUAGGUAGUUUUUCCUAGCCACCGUGCUUCUACACCUGCAUUGCUUGCUGUUUGGGGUUUUAGGCUUGCUUUCUGUACAGCACUUUUAGAUAUCAGCUGAUGUAAGAAGGGCUAUAUAAAUACAUUUGAUUUGAAGUCAGAUUCUACUUUAAAAAUGGGGCAGUGUAGUUUCAUCUUGGAUUUACUUUGUGGAAUCAUUUUUUUUAUUUGAUAGAAUUAAGAGAACAGUGUUUGGCCAGUGUUAGGCUAGUAGCCUAUUCAUGCACUUGUUUUAAUACCCUUUGAGUUUAAACAAAUGUUUUAAUGUAGUCGCAUGUAUACAGAAUCUGAUCAAUAUUUUGUUAUCUGUACAACAGUGCCACCGUGUGGCUGGAAAUGGAACCUAAUGGUCACAUGACACUGUAUAGUACAGGAUAAACAGAAUAUUUACCCUCUCUCUCCUGCAGGUGGCAAGAGCAGCGUUUUCUUUACCGGGAUUCAACAUGACAACAUUAGAAAACACAACUCAAAUCUGCAAAAGAGAAAAUGGCAUCUACUUUUCAUAGUUAUGAUAAAUAUACUUUUUAGAGUGGCAUUCAUUUGUAUUAUUAUGACUAAGGCAUAGGGACUGUAUUGUUGUCUAGGAAAUAUUCUCAGGCAUAUAUUAAACCAUAUGUCAUAUAAACAUCAAAUUACACUUUUAUUAGUCUGUUCGAGAUAACAUAAACCAUGUCAUUUAGCCUCUACACAGAGUAAUUCAACAGCCUCUUGUUAAAUAUUGUCAUAUUAACCCUGAAAUUAGGCAAUUAAAUUACCCUGUUAGAUGACUGAAUGAAGCCCUUUUCAUCAAUAAGGACCCCCAGAUAAAUAUUCAACAGCUUCCUGCGUGAACUGUACAUACAACCUGUUCACUAUUAGUUUAUCAUGACACCUGCGUCUGUCCAAUUCAAUGAUAAUAAAUAGUUUAGUUUCUCAUCUUGGCACUGAUGGUAAUGACUCCUUUCAGAGCUUGUUUGCUCACAGCAAUUAAGUUCAAUCAGCG
rnacentral:lncRNA from 1 species